UACGUAGGCAGCAAGCGUUGUUCGGAGUUACUGGGCGUAAAGGGUGCGCAGGCGGCAGUGUAAGUAAGGUGUGAAAUCUCCCUGCUCAACGGGGAGGGUGCAUUUUAGACUACACAGCUAGAGGUCGGUAGAGGGGGGUGGAAUUGGCUGGUGUAGCGGUGAAAUGCGUAGAGAUCAGCAGGAACACCCGUGGCGAACGGCGGCCCCCU
rnacentral:rRNA from 1 species